UAAGUUAAACGAAUUUCACGUGCAAUUUAAUAGCGUGUAAUUAUACAAAUCGUCGUAGAAUUCCAUAUUUUGGAAGACGUAAACCGAGGAUUAUAGUGCAUCACGAAACAAAUUAUAAUGGACGCGUAUACGAGAAUUUAAGGAAAUUAAUUACAAAAGGGAGGCACGGAGAUCUGUAGAAAAUCAACAGGAUAUUUGAAUAUCAGUUGAAGAAGAAGUAAAAUUUAAAAUUAAAACAACAUACGAUUUGUAUAGACGUGGUUCAGAUAAAUAUCGUGAGAAAACGUAAUGCGUCAUCAAAUUGA